rnacentral:rRNA from 1 species
AUACGGAGGAUGCAAGCGUUAUCCGGAUUUAUUGGGUUUAAAGGGUGCGUAGGCGGAUGAUUAAGCGUGAGGUGAAAUGCCACUGCUCAACAGUGGAACUGCCUCGCGAACUGGUUGUCUUGAAUGCUCCUGCCGUGGGAGGAAUGUGUGGUGUAGCGGUGAAAUGCAUAGAUAUCACGAAGAACUCCGAUCGCGAAGGCAGCCUUCCGGCCCGUCAACGACGCUCAUGCUCGAAGGUGCGGGUAUCAAACAGGAUUAGAUACCCUGGUAGUCCGCACAGUAAACGAUGGACACCCGCGGUUUGGCCUAUAUGGCUGAGCCGCCAAGCGAAAGCGUUAAGUGUCCCACCUGGGGAGUACGCCGGCAACGGUGAAACUCAAAUGAAUUGACGGGG